CCCUCCUCCUCCGUGGGGAUUGGGUAAUAAAGAGACCCAGUGCACAGCUGUGGAGAGACUAAGAUGAGCAAGAGAAGAUCUCUGCCCUCCAGGAGCCUGCUGCCCAGUUAGGAAGACGGGCAUGUAAUUAAAUGAACAUUGUGUUAGAAUUUGGGCGUUUUACCUGGGAG